AUUGAACGCUGGCGGCAGGCCUAACACAUGCAAGUCGAACGAGUGGCGGAAGGGUGAGUAAUGUCUGGGAAACUGCCCGAUGGAGGGGGAUAACUACUGGAAACGGUAGCUAAUACCGCAUACCAUCGGAUGUGCCCAGAUGGGAUUGGCUAGUAGGUGGGGUAAAGGCGCACCUAGGCGACGAUCCCUAGCUGGUUUGAGAGGAUGACCAGCAACACGGGAACUGAGACACGGUCCAGAAUCCUACGGGAGGCAGCAUUGGGGAAUAUUGCACAAUGGGCGCAAGCCUGAUGCAGCCAUGCCGCGUGUAUGAAGAAGGCCUUCGGGUUGUAAAGUACUUUCAGCGGGGAGGCGUUACCCGCAGAAGAAGCACCGGCUAACUCCGUGCCAGCAGCCGCGGUAAUAC
rnacentral:rRNA from 1 species